UACGGAGACGAAUAUACUGUGGGCCCAAGC
rnacentral:piRNA from 1 species